rnacentral:ribozyme from 1 species
AAGACAGUCUAGGAGUCUAUAAAAUUGUUACUGAAGAGACUAGAACGAAACUUCUUUAAUUAGAAGUCUAACA